rnacentral:rRNA from 1 species
UUGAACGCUGGCGGCAGGCCUAACACAUGCAAGUCGAACGGUAACAGAAAGCAGCUUGCUGCUUUGCUGACGAGUGGCGGACGGGUGAGUAAUGUCUGGGAAACUGCCCGAUGGAGGGGGAUAACUACUGGAAACGGUAGCUAAUACCGCAUAACGUCGCAAGACCAAAGAGGGGGACCUUCGGGCCUCUUGCCAUCGGAUGUGCCCAGAUGGGAUUAGCUAGUAGGUGGGGUAAAGGCUCACCUAGGCGACGAUCCCUAGCUGGUCUGAGAGGAUGACCAGCCACACUGGAACUGAGACACGGUCCAGACUCCUACGGGAGGCAGCAGUGGGGAAUAUUGCACAAUGGGCGCAAGCCUGAUGCAGCCAUGCCGCGUGUAUGAAGAAGGCCUUCGGGUUGUAAAGUACUUUCAGCGGGGAGGAAGGGAGUAAAGUUAAUACCUUUGCUCAUUGACGUUACCCGCAGAAGAAGCACCGGCUAACUCCGUGCCAGCAGCCGCGGUAAUACGGGGGGUGCAAGCGUUAAUCGGAAUUACUGGGCGUAAAGCGCACGCAGGCGGUUUGUUAAGUCAGAUGUGAAAUCCCCGGGCUCAACCUGGGAACUGCAUCUGAUACUGGCAAGCUUGAGUCUCGUAGAGGGGGGUAGAAUUCCAGGUGUAGCGGUGAAAUGCGUAGAGAUCUGGAGGAAUACCGGUGGCGAAGGCGGCCCCCUGGACGAAGACUGACGCUCAGGUGCGAAAGCGUGGGGAGCAAACAGGAUUAGAUACCCUGGUAGUCCACGCCGUAAACGAUGUCGACUUGGAGGUUGUGCCCUUGAGGCGUGGCUUCCGGAGCUAACGCGUUAAGUCGACCGCCUGGGGAGUACGGCCGCAAGGUUAAAACUCAAAUGAAUUGACGGGGGCCCGCACAAGCGGUGGAGCAUGUGGUUUAAUUCGAUGCAACGCGAAGAACCUUACCUGGUCUUGACAUCCACGGAAGUUUUCAGAGAUGAGAAUGUGCCUUCGGGAACCGUGAGACAGGUGCUGCAUGGCUGUCGUCAGCUCGUGUUGUGAAAUGUUGGGUUAAGUCCCGCAACGAGCGCAACCCUUAUCCUUUGUUGCCAGCGGUCCGGCCGGGAACUCAAAGGAGACUGCCAGUGAUAAACUGGAGGAAGGUGGGGAUGACGUCAAGUCAUCAUGGCCCUUACGACCAGGGCUACACACGUGCUACAAUGGCGCAUACAAAGAGAAGCGACCUCGCGAGAGCAAGCGGACCUCAUAAAGUGCGUCGUAGUCCGGAUUGGAGUCUGCAACUCGACUCCAUGAAGUCGGAAUCGCUAGUAAUCGUGGAUCAGAAUGCCACGGUGAAUACGUUCCCGGGCCUUGUACACACCGCCCGUCACACCAUGGGAGUGGGUUGCAAAAGAAGUAGGUAGCUUAACCUUCGGGAGGGCGCUUACCACUUUGUGAUUCAUGACUGGGGUG